rnacentral:snoRNA from 1 species
UAACCAUGGUAUGGACAAAACCUCAGCAAGUCCUUGUACCUCUCCCAUGCAUCAUACAUGCUCUCAUCAUCAAACUGCAUAAAAGAAGAAAUAUCAUUAUGCAUCU